rnacentral:lncRNA from 1 species
GUGUAAAGAAAAGCAGCAGGCACUGACCACAUGGCUCCAGAAGGAUCUGGUUAUAAGAAGACGAACUCCAAGAAGGCGGCACCUUGUCCUCAACUGAGAUGCCAUUCACGCUUCUGGCACCAACUGUAAUUUUCCUCUGGAGAAUCCCUUACCUUCCUCCGCCCAUGUGUUUUCAGGGAACUAGAAGCUACUCUGGGCUCCAGUCUUUUUUUCUUAUUUUUUUUAAGGAUUAUUUAUUUAUUUUUAAAGAUUGGCACCUGGGCUAACAACUGUUGCCAAUCCUUUUAUUUUCUGCUUUAUCUCCCCCAAACCCCCGUACACAGUUGUAUAUCUUUAGUUGCAGGUCCUUCUAGUCGUGGGAUGUGGGAUACCGCCUCAACGUGGCCUGACGAGUGGUGCCAUGUCUGCACCCAGGAUCCAAACCCUGGGCCGCAGCAGCGGAGCGCGUGAACUUAACCACUCGGCCACGGAGCCGGCCCCCGGGCUCCAGUCUUGAAGACUGUGCACACACAGCUCAAACCAAUCAGCACAUUCCAUCUGUCUGGCUGGAAAGAUUGCCUUGUUAUGGGCAUACCGUUGAAGUCGCCUACCGGGAUGAAUGUGAUUCAAUUCUGGGACUUUUAUUUGAGCUUUUCUACAGGAUCUUAAGCCUGAGAGGAUGUUCAGGCUGGAGCUGCUGUUGCCAUCCUACCUCCACGUUAAGUUUAUCAGAAAGGAUGGAAGGCUGAGCCCAGAAAUAGAGAAAAUGGAAUCCUGAUGGGCUCCAAAUCCUGUCAUGUCCAAUUCGGGACAACCAUGGAAUUUUCACUUACAUGGACCUACAAAUAUCGUUCUUAAGGAGCCCCAAAUUGAAUUCUGAUUGAUAAUACAGAGAAGCCAGAGAAGCAUAAGGUCUUGGCUCCUGAGAAAUAAAAGCUUCCAUCAAGGCCUACAACAGUGGCAACAGUUGGUUUCAUUGAAUUGGAAGCUGGCUCCCUGUUAUGCUCUGCUAAUAGGGGAUGCUAGAGAGGAGAUGCAAGCCUGGAGGAGAAAGAAGAGAAUGCAUCUUCCUGUAUGCUUCUAGUUCCUGUGUGAGCGGUCCUAGCCGUGAUUCUUAAUUUCAGGAGUGACUAGGCCUUCCCAUAGCAGCAGGUGGCAGCACUUCUCAUGGUCCUGUGGCCUCUCCGCAUUUCAGCUUUUCUGAAGGAUCUACCUACAUCUCUUGGAACUAACUCCUUGGUUGGGCCCCUCAUGGUAGAGUUUUGUGAGUGCCAUAUGGCCGCUAUUUGAAGACAGACCAGCUCAAAUAUACCUUUCAAACUGGAAGACAAGCUGGACCACAUCUUCAGCAGCUGUGGGAGAUGACUGACUGCCUAUUCCUUUGAGAGAGUAACCUUUGCUUGCAUUUAUACCAAACUUCCACACCCACGUCAGAACUGGAAUCCUUGAUCCCCCAUUGCCCGGACGAAAGUAAUUAUUGAACUUGUCCACUGAAACCAUCCUCUCAUGCCCAAAUGCAGUCAGUAGCCACAAGAAAAGAAGACAUUGAACUUCAAGAAGUUGGUUUGCAGUCUGGACUUGCAGCUCUAAACUCCACCCACCACAGUGAAAUUUUGGAUGGCAGCUGCUCAGCUGAAAAGGAGUUGUAUCACCCAGGGCCGGAGCUACAAGCUGUUCCCUGGCCCCCUCAGCUACUUCAAACACAGUCAGACCGAGUGCUCCACACUGUUGUAGAAGCUACGUCUCAUUUGCUGUCGGCACCAUGUGCCGCUAGAAUUGUUCAAGUGUCUGAACUGCUUUAUCCUUCUCCAUGACUGUCAGAAAAGGAAUGGAGGUAUCUCAUGGCUCCGGCCAAUCCAUUGCCAUGUCUGUCUUGUCACUAAUAAUAAUUUAAUGAGGGCAGAGGAAAAACUCCUUCCUCAGUAUCCACUUGACAACUUCCAGUUUAAAAAUAACAUCUCGUUAAUGCCCCAACACAAACUCUUCCGCAGAAAAAGGUAAAAUUUAUAAUGUGAUCCAAACAUAAAACUAAACCAUUUACCUACUGCCAGAAGCUAGAGCAAUCACAACUAAGUAUUGACGGCUGGUGGAAUGAGUCUGAACGUUACUAUCAGUGGUCCUGAAAGCUGGCAUAAACCCUUUUAAUCAUCUUUCACCAUCUGCUACCAAUCUAGAAGUCUUUAUCAAUCAGAAAACACAACAGCUGCCCUGGUGUCACAGAGUGCCUUAAUCCUUCUACUUCUCUUUCUAUUCCUAGACUAAAGCAACUAGAUAUAAGGAAAAAGGAAGGUGAAGUCGGGGAGGGGAUGGUAGGCUAGUGUGGUAGAUAGGAUGAUGGCAGAUGAAAGUAGAAAUAGGAGGAAUCCUGGUUGUACUAUAUUUUUCAUAUGAUCCAUUUGUUCAAAGCAAGGGAGCUAAACAAUGAAGUUGAGAAGAUUCCAUCUUAUUGAAGAGAGUUAUGUGUGUUAGUGAAGGGGAAUUAGCGUAGGAGCUCUGUGUACAUCCACCUGCAGUCCACAUGGAGAUCCAAAAAAGAAAUUUGACCAGCACCCAAUUGGACAAAGAAGAGAGCCAAAAUUAGUGCAUACAUCCUGUCUUUCGGAUGCUGGGUCUGGACAGAUCUCUUAUUCAAACAGGAAAAAAAACCAUGUAAAGAUCAGAACAAGAGAAAAGGAACGUCAUUCAGGAGACACAAAGGAAGAGCAGACCUCUGAAAAAGAUUUACUAUAGGAACGAGAAAAAAAUGUAGAAAACUGGCAUCAGCUAGGGGAUUUUUUUAAAAAAAAAGAAGACAGGAUUACCAUAAUAUAGGUAAAAUUGUAGUUGAGUAAAUCAAAAAUAUAUUGUAGAAAAAUAAAGAUGCACUAACAGGAUUAAAGCAGUAAAGAGCAGAAGUGGUGCUACAAACAAUCAAAUACGUUUUAUAAACAAUAAUAAUAAUAAUAAUAAUUAAAACCACAGAAGUUCUACCAGGAUGUGGAGGAAAAAAACAAGGGUUGAAAACAAUGAGAGAAAAUGAUGUGUAUGGAGCAUAGAGAAUGGAGAGCCAACCUGAGAAUUAUAGGUAUUCCAGGAGAAAAAUAAAUAACAAGCAGAACAGAAGCAAUUAUUCAAAGAUAUAAUUAAAUAAAAGUUUCCUGAGUUGAAAAAGAAUGAACGAGCAGAUCAAAAGGGCCCACUGUGUUCAAAGAAAAUUAAAUGAAAAGAGAACUUUGUAACAUUUGAAUUACAGGGAUGGAGAAAAAGACUCUAAGCAAUUAUGCAGAAAAAAUAGGUGAAAAACAAAAGAACAGAGUUAAGCUGGCCUUAGACUGACUUUUCGCCUGGACACAAUGGAGCCAUGUCGGCAGAAUUUUGAAGGACAAAGUUGUUACAUGACCAUUUUAUAGCCAAGUAUAAAAAACAUGUUAAUAGAAAAAUUAGACAUUUACAGGUACACUAAAAAUAUGCUAACCAUCUAAUUUUUCUGAAAAACACUUACUCUGUAGAGAUAUAUUUUAACAUAUGCAAUUCAAGAGUAGUUAAACCAAGGCACGACAUGACCCUACAGUACUCAGUGGUACAAGGGAUGGGUAAAAACACAGUUUCCUUCCCAAGUUCUGAGGCCAAUUAUCAUCGCAAAUGUGCUUGAACUGGCUGCGUUAAUAAAGCAACAGGAAUUUGAAGAAAUUGCUGCCUCCUUUUACAGUGUCAUCUGGAUGGAGCCUAAAAGCAAAUACUUUCAUUAUAAAUUGUUGCUCAUUAUUAUGGGAGUAUCUUUUUGACUAGCCACAAGUCCAUCUGAAAAAUUUGUUUAAUUCUUUAGAUGAAAUUUACCACUAAUCCCAGAAAUAUAUAUCUUGAUGAUGAUAAGUACUAUGAAACAAUUCUUUUAUUAUCAAAAAGAGUCAGCAUGGCAGAGUGGUUAAGAACAUGAGUUCUACAGUCGGACUGCCUGGAUUGUCUCCUUGCUCCAUCAAUUACUUCCCACAUCUUGGGCAAAUCACGUCAUCUCUUGGGGCCUCAGUUUUCCCACCUGUAAAAUGGAAAUAUUAUAGACUUUCCUGCAUGGAAUUUUUGUAAGGAUAAAUAAGUCAGCAUGUAUAAGGUGCUUAGUGCCUGGCACACCUGCUGCUAGUAAGAAAAAGUAUGAAUUUACAUCAUGUGUAACAUGGUGAAACCUGUUAUAUAUAUACACACACAGGAAAUAGCAGUAUAUUUGUGUUUUCUUUGCACUGUGGCGAUUUCCUUCUUUCUAUGUUUCUCUAGUUUACAAGAUUUUAAAUGAGCUUGCAUUUCCAGCUGAACAAGUAUAGGUUUAAAGCAAGAUGGUUAUUUAAAAAUAAAUCCUAGCUAUUUAUUAUAAUUCCACAUUUAUUAUAGCAAUAAUGGCCUAUACAACUGAAGACGUUAGUUCUAACUCCACUAUUUUUUCAUUAACUGAACUUGAAUUUUCUUUAGUGUCCAGGAGGGUGAUGACAGCGUUUCCUUUUAGGGUUUCAUGGAAGUAGACAUUGUUUUUACUGUCAUCCCGGUUAUGCUGAUGAUUCCAGUGCUUUGGUUUUCCACUACGAAAGAUUUUGUCCUAAAAAAGGGAGGAGGAAGAGGGAAGAGCAAAGGAGAUCUGGGGUGAAAUAGCUCCUCAGAUCUGUUCCAUUUCUGUCAUUUUUAUUUUCUCCGUCAAUCUGUCUGCAACUACGACAGUGAAGGAAUACAUUUAUUUUGACUUUUUGUGGUGUUCUUGGUAGGGGAGCAAUUCUCCGUGGUCUCAUAUGUUCACGUUGAACACGACUGUGGAAUCAAACAGCCAGCUCCUGUGUUGCCCUUGGGGGAGAAUUGGACAGAUUUAGGUGUUUACUAGAUGGCUAAAGUUUUGAAGUGAUGGGGGAUGUUAUUGUACUGGUUUAGAUUUUCUAAUUUUUAAUUUUUACCCUUCAGCCUGCCCUUUGCUAUUUUGUACUUUAUUUCAUGAUAUAGAAUGUCCUACAGCUCUUUCACAAAACCAUCCUUACGUCUGUCCUCUAAUGCCACAUCUCAUUCUAACAAAACCUCUAUGGUUUUAGUGGCCAAGUCCUGGGCCAUGUAUUCCAUGUCAAUAAUUGAACAUUUCACUUUUGGAGAAAACCAGGCAUGUAACCAUGGUUUGUAAGUAUCUCAUAAGGCAUAUUUUGAGAUGUGUUUUUUUUUUAACCGAGCUUUUUUGCACAUUAUCUCAUUUCUUCUGAAUAUUAUUUUUUGUUCAAUGACACCAUCAGUGUACUGCUGACUUUGAAAUCAAUCUCUCCAGCUGUUUAAAAUUUUUCCAAAUUUGGGUUUUUUUGUCCUUAUGUGCAUUCCUUAAGUCUCCUUACUUAAGGAUUUUAAUUUAGUGUCUGACUUGAUGUGACAUUGAUAUGAGCAUCCUUUUUACAUCAGUUUUAUUAAAGUCAACCUCCCAGAUACGGGAUAAUUUAUAAAAACAACCCCAUAUGAAUGGAGCUCUGGUUGCUAAUAACAAUGAGCUAAAAUCAUCGAGAAAGCUUACUGUGUGCCAGGCACUGAGUUUAGUGCUUUAUUUAUUUGGAUUGUCUUAACAAACUUUUCCAAUAACAAUAAGAAUCAAGCACUAUUUUUCAUCACCAUUUUACAGGUAGGGCAACUGUGGUUUAGAGAGGUUAAAUAGUUGCAAAUUUAUACAGAAAUGAGAGGGAUUUUAGGUCUGAUUAUUUCCACAGCCCAUCCUCUUAGCUUCCACACUAAAUUGCCUCUAUAUUCACAACUCCUGGGUAUUUUUGCUUGGUUUCCACGGACUAACGCUGUAUCUGAGAACAAUGAGAGUAUCUCUUCAACUCCAUAAAGAUAUUUUCUCUUUCCAGUUUCCAAGAAUAGCGAUAAAAAUCAGAAAAAAAAUUAUUUCCUAGAAUCAUCAAAUAUCAGGUGGUUCCAGGAAGUUAGUUUCUGCCCAGUGUUAGUAAUCUGUUACCAAGGAGAUAGAAACAGAAUUAAAUGAGUUUUUAACUAUAUGGAAGUGUUAAUAAACUAGGAGUUCCAUGUGACUGGGAGCUUUUGCAAGAAAGAUUUGUAGGAGUCUUAACUUUGUUUCAGUUUGCCGUUGCAUGUGUUGUAAUGGAAAAGAAAAGGAAAAACAUUUCAACUGCAACUGGCUCACGUUCAGAAACCACGCCUCUUCUGCAUAUCAUUGGCCGUUUAAAAAAAAAUCUGUUUUGCUCUUUAUGGCUCAUGUCAUAAAGCAUCAGACGCAGUGAGAAGCCUUAGCAUGUCUUCUGAGUUAAAAAAAAAAAAAAAAAAAGGGCAGCCCUGUCCUGUCUGAAAAAUGUUUACAUCACAGUUGGUUUUGCUUUUGAGGUUCCAGACAGGUGACUGUACCUGCGGGAACAGAUCUGACUUGUCCAGAUCCUCGCUCUCAACAAAGGGUGCCGGGAUGUUCAGUGGGAGAGAAAUGCUGAUGGAGUUGGACCCAGAGCCGCACCGGGGAGCAGGAAUCCUUUCCACACCCUGUACUUUGACAAACCUGUUCUUGCUUUGCUACCCAUCUGCAAGGAAGCAGUUUUUCUAAAUGGCUAUGUUUAGAUUAGAAUGUCGUCUAACAGAAGUUCUAACAUGUUGUACUGAUUAAACAAAUUGAGAUCAAAACAGACAGACAGACAGAAAUGCAAACAGACAAACAAGCAUCCUUCUCUGAAGCGUCCCAUUUCUUAGAGUGUACAGAAAACAAAAAUCUUUGUAUGAAUUUUGGAAAAGGUUGCUCUAACUCUGAAUAGAAUAAAGAGUCUUUAGGAAAUCAAGACUUGUUAUUUAUUUGGUGGGAAUAAAUGAAAUGCAGGAAUAAAAAAAUUACAUGCUUUGGAGAUGAGACCGCGUGCCUGAGACCAACUGCCUCGCUGUGGGGAGUGGAGUGGUGACCCUGAGUCAUUUGGGGGUCACAGCAAUUUAGAAUCAAGAAACCUAGCCUGAGGAUGUGUCCUUGCACCAAAUCCCUCCACCAGUUUGCCAGAUGCUAACUCAAUUGGAGGAGAGUGGAUUAUGCCCAAGGAAUGGAUAAAUCUUCUUGCUGAUACUCAGACAUGGAUGUUAUUUUAUGGUUCUUUUUACAAAGGCAGAUGAUUGGAUUGAAGGAAGGAAAGUGGAGAACAGGGACAAGUGUAAGCUGUCAUGGUGAUCUUUCUGCUUUAAUCUUUUAAACGCAUUACCUUAUUUUCUAUAGUACUGUGGAUGUCGUUCCUCAAAAGCAGCAUACCAUUAGGUUUUCUUCAAUUCCAAUAUUUUUUGACAAAUGUAUCAUUUUUGAAAAGUCUUUAAAAAAGAAAUCUUUUAAAAAGGUAAAUGGCAUCUUCUAAUUUAAUUAUUUGAUAAUUAGUAAGUCCGUGUGUUGGGUUUAUUAAUGCUUUGUGCCCUGCACAAUAUAAGGCCAAAGUAUAACACAACAGAGAUGGUGAUAUUUACUAAAUAAAUAUGUGAUAAUUGUUUUAUCUAUGUAAUUAUAACUUGCUGAGUAAUAAAGCAGAAAUUGACUUCUGACAUCACAAAUUCCAGGUGUGUUGAAUUAAAAUAGGAAAGCUUUAAAAUUUCUCCUAGGGUUGUUCUCAGGAGUCUCUGAGAUGCUUCCCGCUGCUGUUUACUCGUCCUGAUUCAGACUUGAAAACUUCUUUUAAGUGGAUCAAAGACAUACAGUUUGGAAUUUGAAAUGCAGUUAAUGGAUCCCAGCCAGAUGAACUUUUCAGGUACCUGUGGAGAGAUUCAAGUGCAAUCGCUGAUUUUCUGGCAAAGUAAGUAUAUUUCUUGUCUGAUGGGAAAAAUGACAUCUCAGAAUUUUGCAGAUUUGAACAAAUUCUUAAGAUGUCCAAUCUACUUUUGUAGGAAGCAAUUUUCUCAAGUUUCAAACUUUUGAACAUUUUCCUAACCCAAAGAAUGUAACCAUACUAAUAAAACAGCCAUUUUCUCUUUAAGUACAAACCACCCUGCAGACUGUGGUACUAGAGACAUUUUGGUUAUUUUCCCCCUGUUAAUUAACACAUAGGAAUCAAUUAGGUUUCCUCCUGUAAUUUUCAUUUAGAAUAGAACAUUAAAUUUAACAGAUGAUCAAUCUCAUUACUUUCACUGAGAGGUUUCUUGUAGCUGGUAGCCACCUGCUUGCAAGCAUGUUUAUACGAAGUGC